rnacentral:rRNA from 1 species
UAGUGAGUUUGAUCCUGGCUCAGGAUGAACGCUGGCGGUCUGCUUAACACAUGCAAGUCGAACGCAAGUAGAAAUACUUGAGUGGCGGACGGGUGAUUAACGCGUGAGAAUCUGCCUUCUGUCGGGACGAACCACUGAACGGUAGGCUAAUACCGGAUAUGCCUAUGGGUGAAAGAUUAAUUGCCAGAAGAAGAGCUCGCGUCUGAUUAGCUAGUUGGAGAGGUAAAGGCUCACCAAGGCAUCGAUCAGUAGCUGGUCUGAGAGGACGAUCAGCCACACUGGGGACUGAGACACGGGCCCAGACUCCUACGGGAGCAGCAGUGGGGAAUUUCCGCAA